AAGUCGUAACAAGGUUUGGAAUAAGAUUCUUCCGUGACGCUUAUGAGAAGCCUCUGCAACCCUCCAAAGGGUGUUUACCGCGACUAUAAACAAGAAUGUAGGCAUGAAACUGCAAGUCAGUCUAUCAAGCUGGCCACACUUUCGAAUUGCGGGAAUCCCCUAAAGCCUGCUGCUACCAAGCCACUGCAGAAAUGCACGGUGGUCUGUGUUAAUCACACAGAGUCAGGUAACAAUGCAGCAGGAUGCGUACAAUGGGUAAUCCGCAGCCAAGCCUCUACAGCCAACUUACGGCCACGAGGAAGGUUCACAGACUAAGUGGAAGUGGGUUGAUCACAGAAUCAGCUUAAGAUAUAGUCGGUCCGAGCGAGAAAUCAUUCGGUUGUCACACAGACAUGUAACAAACGUUCCGUAGGUGAACCUGCGGAAGGAUCAUUACCAAGUUCCAAACUCUUUGGGUCAAACCAAAGUUUUAAACCAAUUGUCUACCACAAACAUUUUGCUUCGGCAGCCGGUUUGGGCGAGAGCCUGAGCCGUAAGCCUGCCGACGGCACCCAUUAAACUAUUUUAAAUCAGUCUGAAAUGGAUUAUCAUUAUGAAUGAAAAUCGAAA
rnacentral:misc_RNA from 1 species